rnacentral:rRNA from 1 species
UACCCGCAGCACAAGUGGUGGUCAUUAUUAUUGGGCCUAAAGCGUCCAUAGCUGGCUUGUUAGAUGCCUGGGUAAAUCGAUGCGCUCAACGUAUCGAAUUCCGGGUAGACCGGCAAGCUCGAGACCGGGAGAGGUGUAGGCUACUCGAGGGGUAGGGGUAAAAUCCUGUAAUCCUUCGGGGAGGACCAGUGGCGAAGGCGCUACACUAGAACGGCUCUGACAGUGAGGGACGAAGCCCUGGGGCGCAAACCGG